rnacentral:rRNA from 1 species
UACAGAGGGUGCAAGCGUUGUUCGGAAUUAUUGGGCGUAAAGGGCGCGUAGGCGGACAGUUUAGUCAGAGGUGAAAAGCCCAGGGCCUCAACCUUGGAAUUGCCUUUGAUACUGGCUGUCUUGAGUUCGGGAGAGGUGAGUGGAAUGCCGAGUGUAGAGGUGAAAUUCGUAGAUAUUCGGCGGAACACCAGUGGCGAAGGCGAACUCACUGGCCCGA